UACGAAGGGUGCUAGUGUUGUUCGGAAUCACUGGGCGUAAAGCGCGCGUAGGCGGCGAUACAAGUCAGAGGUGAAAGCCUGGAGCUCAACUCCAGAAUUGCCUUUGAAACUGCAUUGCUAGAGUGUCGGAGGGGAUAGCGGAAUUGCUAAUGUAGAGGUGAAAUUCGUUAGAUAUUAGCAGGAACACCGGUGGCGAAGGCGGCUAUCUGGACGACAACUGACGCUGAGGCGGCGAAAAGCGUGGGGGAUCAAAC
rnacentral:rRNA from 1 species